rnacentral:rRNA from 1 species
AAGCACGAAGCCGGCUCCAAGAUAAGAUCUCGCCAAGGGCCGUCGCAGACUACGACGUCGAUAGGCCGCAGGUGCAAGUGUGGCGACGCACUCAGCCGAGCGGUACUAAUUGCCCGAAGU